rnacentral:tRNA from 1 species
GAGGGUAUAGCUCAGUGGUAGAGCGCAUGCUUAGCAUGCACAAGGUCCUGGGUUCAAUUCCUGUACCUCUA